AAAUGUAUUGAAGGCUGGCAAAGGAUGAAUCUAGCUGUGCGUUAUUUUCCUUGCUCCAUCAAUAGAAGGAAGAAGUGAAAAAUCUCCAGUAAAAGCUCUGAGCCCAAGACUGAGGCAUCCUGGCAGGACAGAAAAAGAAAGCGCCAACACUUUACUUCUGAAUUGUGUACGUCAGUGACCAUAGAGAGUGUUUCAGCCUUCAAGGAUAUAAAUCCAGCACUUGCGGUGUUUUAAAGGGAACAGCCACCUAUUCACAUUUUGUUUCCAAGAAGAAAACCAAGAGUGCAAACCUGGAACAGAGCUGUAAUGGAUUUGGAUCAUCAAGGAGCAGGACUGCAGAGAAAUUCAUGUGGACUCCAUUUUCUCCCUACACAUACCCAAGCUUUGGCCAAAAGCAGUAUUAUUUCUGACAACGUGCCCAGAGAUGAGAGAACACUCUUGGGAAUCCACAGCUCUCAUCCACAGAUUGUCUCAUGGGAAAUUUUCCUAACUGCAGAUUCACAUGACCAGAGAACUGCUGGAGAGGGACCUGAAUGCCAGACAUGGAAGACGAUGCAGUCUAUAACUCUCCAUCUGAUAAUAACCAGAUUAUAGCUCCACAAUUCCAACAAAGA
rnacentral:lncRNA from 1 species